CCGCCCUCCCGCAGGAAUCCCGGGCGGCGCGGCGGCUCCGGGACGCGCGGCUCCGCGGGGCUGCACAGCAGCGGCAGCGGCAGCAGGAGAGCAGCGAGCGGGGGAGCCGCGCUGCCAGCAGCAGCCGCCGCCUCACGCUGCGGCACCGGCACGGCCAGCGCAGGUGGCAGUGUAGAAGCCAAGAACAAGAAUUGGCAGAAAUUGUGUUCUGUGUACGAGACUAUGAAGAGUGUACUCAUGACUAAGCACAGGAACCUGGAAAACCACAGGCUUUGGUCAGGUGAUCCCUGAUGAGCAGCCAGCCCACCAAGAAGGGAUUUGAGCACACAGUAGCUCCCAAACGUUUUGCUGGAUCAGUGCAGAGAGAUGGCAGUGAGUCAGCCCAGGGACACCCUCCCAACCUGCCACUGGGACAGAGGGAUGCUGGCUUCAGGUGAGAUGGAAGGAGGAACUGGGGAUGGACACUCCUGAGGCUGCAGGAGCCUGCUGAGACAGCUGCCUCCAAGCAGGGUGUCCUAAGCCACAGUUUAACAAAGCCAUGGACUGUGACAGUCCAUAGCAGGGACUCACAGUCCACUCAACCCUGCUCCAGACCUGGCUUUAUUUAACAUUAAUAAAUCAUAUGAUUUCCAGACA
rnacentral:lncRNA from 1 species